CUUUUAGUUUUCAUUUUAUUCAAAUUUUAAAAACGCCCCAACAUUUCCGGAAUUCGGGUUGUACCUGAGAGAAUUAUAGCCUUUGAAAUAUUUUAGGGCAGAGCAUAUUUAGGAAAGUGUACAUUCAUUAAACAAUAUCCAUGACUUUUCCAGGCAUGGAAAACACAAUUUUGAAAUUCCCUGAUAUUGAUAUUUACUUGUUGGAAGCUUGAAUAUAGUAUGUAGGAAAGAAGUAAACAUUGUCAGGGCAUUGAUGGUGUAAUCAAUUUUAGGCCAAAUCAAAAACAUUAAUGAAGUGCACAUCCCACUUAUUCCUUUUUGUGUUUUUCAGGUUUAUAAAACAAAGCACCGGCCAAGCCUUUAUGAUUAAAGUGGGGUCGAUCCUGCACCUGUCCAUGUCCUGGUCUGAUCUUUGACCUGACCUUUGACCCUGCGGUGUGCCGUCUACAACCUUACGAAAUAUCUUAAUUUGUGUUCUGAAGAUGAACGAAAGUCUUGUGGGUGUGGAACGACAUGAGGUGUUUUGAAUAAAUAACAGAGGAAUGGUCGCUGCUCAUCACUGAUCACCUCUAAAGCAGAUGAGCAAAGCGUGCGAGGCUCACAAUUAGCCAUGGCUGCCCUCACUGCCCCGUGCGUGCGUGACAAUCCUACAUGUGUAUCCCUACAGUAUGUGCUUUUUUCUCUCGUUCUCAUUAUGUUUUUAUUAUGCCUAAGGAGGUUUCUUCUACAUUCGCAGAAAAGUUUCUUGACCCGAGGAUUUAAUUACAUUAGUUCCUUCACUCUCAAAUUACAGGGUCGUGCCACGUCACAUUGCAUAAUCUCAAGAUUUUGUCUUGAGAGUCGCUUGCAUGCAACAGGCCGCAGUGAACUCAUUGAUUGUUUACAUGCACAGAUUUUCACUGAUUAAAUUCAGUCUGAUUGCAGAUUCUAAAUGUUCUGUUUAUACGUACCUUAAACACUCCAGUCGGGUAAAAAAAACGUAUGUUUACAUGCACAUUACAUGCGAGUGGAAUUAAACAGCAAAGCGUUCUGUAAUCAUCCCGCAUUAACUCCACUUUGUGUUUUCCAUUUCAUGCCAAUUCGAAUUUUGGGUAAAAUAAUAUUUAAUAUUUAACAUAAUAAUUAUUGUAACAGUUUUGUAUUAAAACUGUACAGUAAUGAAUGAAUUAUAAUUAAUUGAUUAUAAGCAACAAUUCUUCCACCAAUUUUUUUUUUAUUUUUUUUGUCCCACUAAUCAUCACAGCGUAUUAUUGAUUUGAAUUCUACACAAAGGAUACAUUUGGCCAAAACACACUCUUAUGAUGCAAUUAAAUCACACUGUCUAUGUUUUGGAACAGCCACAAAAGCACACCUAUGAUGCCUUAAAAUGCUGCCUACGGAAGCAGCUCACUAAAUUUAUUUGCAUGGUAUUUACUUCUCAGCACAGGUGUUUUUGGCAAAAUUAGGCAGCUGAGAAAACACAGACGGUGGCAACUGGUCAUUUAAAAUGCUAGCAUGAUUACGUUCCCUAUCUGCACCUGGAGUUCACCCUGCAGUCAUUGGCUGCGUCUGAAAGCUAAAGCAGCUGACUUGUUGCCUCGCUGCCCUAACAGGCAAUAACUUUGCAUUUGCGCACCAAGGUACCUCAUGAAACUGAUUUCAGACAGAGAUGUGCUGCGUCCCAAUUCGCCUACUUAUACUAUGCCCUAAAAGUAUGUUUUUGUGAAAAAAAACAACAAAAAAACAUACUUUUGAGUGUGUAGCAAAAGAGUAGGCAAGCUUUGGGACAUACUAAUUCAUCAUAACAGCGUUUUUAACGGACAGCUCUGUCGCUAUGUGCAUCCUGUCAUCGUUUAAACAGCCCUAUCAAUCAUCUUGUCACAGUUAAAAUACUCCACAUUCAAUUUAAUUUAAUUUCCUACCGUUUCAGAGAGAAAUGUAGUAACACGUUGAUCUGCCAGUCGUGGGUCUUUCAUGCGGUGAACUCUCUUCAUGCAUUUGCAAUUUGCAUAAUGAUGCAUUUAAAAGUUAACGAUCAAACAUAUCUUUACAACAGUUAACAAUGCUGUUGCAGAUGAAAGAUAAUGUGGAUAACAUUGAAUAAAUAGCUUUUCGUCAGGUUAAAUACUGUUUAUUAAUCACUCAAACCCCUUUAUCUAAACCUCUUAACCGUCAGACUCACACAUAUGCCAUGUUUGUAGUUUUUUAGCACAUUUUAUUAGUGUUUGAAGUUAUCAAAUCCUCAUCCAACGAGCAAUGGCUUGUGGGAAAUAUUAGCUGUUAGAGUGUGCACAGAUCUGUACUUCGGAUUUUAACCGGAAUACUCAUUUCAACAUACUACAAUUUGGGACACACUAAUUCUAAUUUCGAAUACUAUUUAGGACAAAUAGUAUGGGAAUUGGGACGCAUUAUUGGGAGAUACAAGGGUCCCUGGCUCUAUCAUUUGAAAAAGCAUAAUGGCCAACUUGGAUUAUGUGUGCCUUAAUAACCAAUCACAUUUCAGCCUUGACGUCAAUGAAUUUCAUUCAGAGUUGUGCUACAGUCAGUCACUGUUUGCAGAUACCAUAGAAAUUAACAAGAAGUGCCAUAAACUGAAUCCUAGCUGUUGAGCAAUUUUCCAAGACUUCUCUUAAGUGUAAACUCUAAAAAUAGAUAAAUCCAAAAUGAAUGUUUAAGAGCAAAUAUGUAGACGAUUGGCCAGUAGGCUGUUGAUUCAUUAAAUGAUAAGCCGUUUUCCCACAAAAGCAGUUUAUUCAGUGUAGUGAAACCUCUUCUCCCUUGACAUCCAUUAAAAAAAGGCCUCUGGUCAACUUCCUUGCGUACUGCAGCAUUAUGCUAUUUUUUGCUAACCUAGAAGUCUUGCUUUAAAGGUAGGGUAGGUCAUUUUCAGAGAGGCUAGCAAUAGCGAGCUAGCCUACCAAAGCCUCCUCUCCAAAGCCACGCCUCCUCCAAAACACAUGAACGCACACAGCAGGGAGCAAACAAAAGCGUCACAAGAGACGGCAUUAAACUACCUCAUGUCUCAAAGCACAUAACAUUACAAUAAUAAUGAAUGUAAACAACAUAAAGAGCAUUGACCUGUACCACCUGACUGCUGCAGAUUAAUUUCGCCGUUGAUUGUGUUGCCAUUGAAAUGUGUAAAUUUGAGUCACGAACCACUCUGAGUAUAACGUCACCAGUUUCCAUUUCUUCCAAAUUACAGUAGUUAUUGCGUGAACAUAGCAUAAGCUUAUUUUGGUUGAGGAGGAACUGUAAAAGGCGGCUGCUGUUUCAGUUACUGUCUGUCUAACUGUGCAUAUCACAAAAAGUGCUGAUAAUGUGUGACGUCUGCGUGAGGAUAUAUGGAAAUACAUACGUUGACAGGCAGGUAGAACAUUGUAUUGUUGCACUCGGACCGAAUGCAAUGAUUGGACAAACACGUUAUCGUCCUAAGCCUUCCAUAGACGUUAUACACUGUAUACAUAUAAAUGCAGUUAGACCACUUGACUUAGUGAUUUCUAUCAGGAUGUGAAGAGACUUUCAACCAGCAUAACAAAAAAUGUUUUUGAACCAAAUCACCUACGCUGCCUUUAAAACGGCUUUGCUAAAGGUUACAGGCAGGUAAGUUUGAUCAAGGUUGGAGCUAAACUCUGCAGGACAGAGUUGAGAACCCCUGACCUAAAAGAUUCUAUAUAUGAAGUGCCUGACAGAACCCUAUAUAGAACCUUUUCUUCUAAGAAUGUGUGACAUUUUUCCUAAGGUAUUUAAGAAGAAACAGCAGAGACAAAAUUGAUAGCUAAAUGAAUAUCUCAUAAAAUGAAAGCUGUGAAAUGACCAUCGUUAGGCACAAACUUUUUCCUCUGGGUGCGUUGUGACGUGUCAACAGAGGGAGUAAUGCUCUUUAAAAAGCUAUAAAGAGCUUUGGGGGUUGGAAAGUAGAAAGGGAGGUCAAGGGUUUUCCUCCAACCCACUAUGACGCUACACUGCAGGGAAGGUACCUCACGUGUACACAGGGUAUCCCAUGCGUGCGACAAUAUGCAACUUCAAUAAAUCAGUAUGACUUUAAAAAAUUUUCCACUUGCAGUAGCUGCAGAGAGUGUUGAAACGUGAGCAAUUAUGUAGGUCAGCGACAUUAACGCAAGUUUGUGCUGAGCUGUUAAAUCAAUUUAGCAGCAACCUCUACCAAUGAACUCGUUAUUUUCAAGAGAACUCAAAAGACUCACAGUGAAGAGGCCUAUUACACUAAACCCUCUGGACAUUGUGAUCAUAACAAAACUCUGGUACCUUCAGAAAAUACCUUCAGUCACAACCUGUCAGCGUCUUCUCCGCCCAAUGAACUCACUUGACUUGAAACGCACAAAAUAAACAUUAGUGACGUUACAGCUGUGUGGGCACUGUUGAUGAUAUACAAAAGAUUCUGUUCAAAUAUGAGACUUAAGAGAGAUUUGCAGACUUUUGACAAAGUAAAAAAGGAAAAGGCAAAGCUAUGCAGAACUGCACUUGUCAAACAACACCUGCAGCCUGCACCUCGCAUGUUUGCACACGUACUGCAGAAAAGUCAGGACUCAGCAAACAUUUAGUAAACACAAAUAGGCAGUUCUAGUUGUGCUAAUCUAUCGAAAAGACUCACUAAUCCAUUAGAAAGGAUGCAAACAGUUUCUUAACGUUUCCACAGAGAUUUACAGAUUGUUUUUUAUUGUUUUCAUAUGCAGUACCAUUGGGGUCUCUACACUGUUUUAAUGUUUUUGAAAGAAGGCUCUAUUACUCACCAAGGCAAAUCAAAAACACAGCACUAUUGUGAAAUAUGAUUACCAUUUAAAACAACUGUUUUCUAUUAUAGUAUAUUUUUAAAAUGUAAUUUAUUCCUGGGAUGGCAAAGCUAUUUCUGUAAUUCAGCAUCAUUACUCCAGUCUUCACAUGAAAUUAAAUAUAUGUGUCACAUGAAAUUAAUAUAAUAUGCUAAUUUGCUGCUCAAUAAACAUUUCUUAUUAUUAUUAUCAAUUUUGAAAGCAGUUCUAUAGUGACAACUCUCAUAAGAUUUUUAGCAUGGUAAUGGAUAUGACAAUGUUAAUGUAGUUGGUCUUGGUGGACUAGAUCUGCUAUGCUGCUGCUGCUGAAUUACUGCUGCUGUAGAUUAUUGCUGCUGCUGCAGAGCAAGUACAGGAAGUUGCUAUUGCCAAUACAUACCCAAGACAUGCUGCUGCUGCUGCUGCUGCAUAAAUAGCACAUAAAUUACCCUCAGCAGAUCUAUACAGGUGGAGCUUGGGAAGGUGAAGGGUUUCAGAGGAACUAUAAAAGUGUGCUGCAAACUACUAUAGUGAACGCUAACCAGCCAUUUAUCCCUCUACUGCACACAUGUUGAUGGCACAUGAAAAAAAAAAAAUAUUCCACAUCAUAUUUUGGUUCAUUUGGGAACAUUUUAUUGAUUUAAAAAAAAAAAAAAAAAAAAAAAAAAAAAAUUGCCUCAGGGCAAUGUUGUGUGACAAUGGAACAGAGUCAUAGAGAAAAUUAUCAAAAUCAUUUUUUUUUUUUUUUUAAAUUCAAGAAAUCAUUAAGUAAAAAGGGAAAAACACUUGAAAGACAUUGAUAUAUUGAAUUUGAUGCAUGCAUAGGUCUGUAUCAUGUAGUGUGCUAUGCCAUAUAAUGUACUUCAUCAAUAAGAUUUAAUUCCGUACGAAACUUCAAAAAGCAGUUCUUCUCUGCUGUGACAUAGUGGUGUAUGUUACAAUUUUUGGGUGUUCCUGCACACCCAGGAACCCUACAUCUUCCCUUCUUAUAAUACAUUGUUGCCAAUGUGAGGUAUUGUCUAAAACAUCCUCGAAAUGUACCCCUUAUUGCACAACGUUGCCCUGAGGCAACGAAAAGAAAAACUCAAUUUCUGAACAUGCAAAAUAAAAUAAAAAAUCAUAAAA